rfam:Danio rerio unplaced genomic contig NA628, GRCz11 reference primary assembly.
GCCUCUGUGGCGCAAUCGGCUGUUAACUGAAAGGUUGGUGGUUCAAGCCCACCCAGGGACG